UAGGGAAUCUUCCGCAAUGGACGCAAGUCUGACGGAGCAACGCCGCGUGAGUGAAGAAGGAUCUCGGUUCGUAAAACUCUGUUGUUAGAGAAGAACAGCGCAUAGAGUAACUGUUAUGCGUGUGACGGUAUCUAACCAGAAAGCCACGGCUAACUACGUGCCAGCAGCCGCGGUAAGACGUAGGUGGCAAGCGUUGUCCGGAUUUAUUGGGCGUAAAGCGAGCGCAGGCGGUCAAUUAAGUCUGAUGUGAAAUCCCCCGGCUCAACCGGGGAGGGUCAUUGGAAACUGAUUGACUUGAGUGCAGAAGAGGAGAGUGGAAUUCCAUGUGUAGCGGUGAACAGCGUAGAUAUAUGGAGGAACACCAGUUCCGAAGACGACUCUCUGGUCUGUAACUGACGCUGAGGCUCGAAAGCGUGGGUAGCAAACAGG
rnacentral:rRNA from 1 species